AUUGAACGCUGGCGGCAGGCCUAACACAUGCAAGUCGAGCGGAUGAAGGGAGCUUGCUCCUGGAUUCAGCGGCGGACGGGUGAGUAAUGCCUAGGAAUCUGCCUGGUAGUGGGGGAUAACGUCCGGAAACGGGCGCUAAUACCGCAUACGUCCUGAGGGAGAAAGUGGGGGAUCUUCGGACCUCACGCUAUCAGAUGAGCCUAGGUCGGAUUAGCUAGUUGGUGGGGUAAAGGCCUACCAAGGCGACGAUCCGUAACUGGUCUGAGAGGAUGAUCAGUCACACUGGAACUGAGACACGGUCCAGACUCCUACGGAAGGCAGCAGUGGGGAAUAUUCGACAAUGGGCGAAAGCCUGAUCCAGCCAUGCCGCGUGUGUGAAGAAGGUCUUCGGAUUGUAAAGCACUUUAAGUUGGGAGGAAGGGCAGUAAGUUAAUACCUUGCUGUUUUGACGUUACCAACAGAAUAAGCACCGGCUAACUUCGUG
rnacentral:rRNA from 1 species